rnacentral:rRNA from 1 species
GAUGAACGCUAGCGGGAGGCCUAACACAUGCAAGCCGAGCGGUAUUGUUUCUUCGGAAAUGAGAGAGCGGCGUACGGGUGCGGAACACGUGUGCAACCUGCCUUUAUCUGGGGGAUAGCCUUUCGAAAGGAAGAUUAAUACUCCAUAACAUAUUGAUUGGCAUCAAUUAAUAUUGAAAGCUACGGCGGAUAGAGAUGGGCACGCGCAAGAUUAGCUAGUUGGUGAGGUAACGGCUCACCAAGGAGAUGAUCUUUAGGGGGCCUGAGAGGGUGAUCCCCCACACUGGUACUGAGACACGGACCAGACUCCUACGGGAGGCAGCAGUGAGGAAUAUUGGUCAAUGGGUGCAAGCCUGAACCAGCCAUCCCGCGUGAAGGACGACUGCCCUAUGGGUUGUAAACUUCUUUUGUAUAGGGAUAAACCUACCCUCGUGAGGGUAGCUGAAGGUACUAUACGAAUAAGCACCGGCUAACUCCGUGCCAGCCGCCGCCGUAACAC